CCCUACAACUGCAAGAUCCGCGGAGAGCGAGCCUCCAGUCCAUCCAUUCUAUGCCUGCAGGAGCUUAUGAUACAACCCUUACUGGGCGCAACUCCCUUCUCCUCUUCGAAUUGCCUUCGUCGCUCCAAAAUUGAUAUACAUUAGACAUUCUCAAGCUAUACCCUGAUGCUAGUGGAAUUUGAUUCGUAGACUAUGCUCAAUUGACAACAUUAUAAUCUGGAGAAAUAAUGGAUUUGAUUUAAACAUUUGUUCGAAUUUUAAUUUCUUUUACCCCUCAAAUUUGUGAGACUGAUACUGUUUAUUAAGAAUUGAAUAUAGCUCUACAAAUAUCCUUUUUACUCCUGAAUUUGAAUGCUUCUUAAGAUACGGAUUCUUGUUUCUUUUACCUGUUA